UACAGAGGUCCCAAGCGUUGUUCGGAUUCAUUGGGCGUAAAGGGUGCGUAGGCGGCGCGGUAAGUCGGGUGUGAAAUCUCGGGGCUUAACUCCGAAACUGCAUUCGAUACUGCCGUGCUUGAGGACUGGAGAGGAGACUGGAAUUUACGGUGUAGCGGUGAAAUGCGUAGAUAUCGUAAGGAAGACCAGUGGCGAAGGCGGCUCACUGGACCAUAACUGACGCUGAUGCACGAAAGCUAGGGGAGCAAACAGG
rnacentral:rRNA from 1 species